rnacentral:rRNA from 1 species
GACGAACGCUGGCGGCGUGCUUAACACAUGCAAGUCGAACGGAAAGGCCCUGCUUUUGUGGGGUGCUCGAGUGGCGAACGGGUGAGCAACACGUGAGUAACCUGCCCUUGACUUUGGGAUAACUUCAGGAAACUGGGGCUAAUACCGGAUAGGAGCUCCUGCUGCAUGGUGGGGGUUGGAAAGUUUCGGCGGUUGGGGAUGGACUCGCGGCUUAUCAGCUUGUUGGUGGGGUAGUGGCUUACCAAGGCUUUGACGGGUAGCCGGCCUGAGAGGGUGACCGGCCACAUUGGGACUGAGAUACGGCCCAGACUCCUACGGGAGGCAGCAGUGGGGAAUAUUGCACAAUGGGCGGAAGCCUGAUGCAGCAACGCCGCGUGCGGGAUGACGGCCUUCGGGUUGUAAACCGCUUUCGCCUGUGACGAAGCGUGAGUGACGGUAAUGGGUAAAGAAGCACCGGCUAACUACGUGCCAGCAGCCGCGGCGAUACGUAGGGUGCGAGCGUUGUCCGGAUUUAUUGGGCGUAAAGGGCUCGUAGGUGGUUGAUCGCGUCGGAAGUGUAAUCUUGGGGCUUAACCCUGAGCGUGCUUUCGAUACGGGUUGACUUGAGGAAGGUAGGGGAGAAUGGAAUUCCUGGUGGAGCGGUGGAAUGCGCAGAUAUCAGGAGGAACACCAGUGGCGAAGGCGGUUCUCUGGGCCUUUCCUGACGCUGAGGAGCGAAAGCGUGGGGAGCGAACAGGCUUAGAUACCCUGGUAGUCCACGCUGUAAACGGUGGGUACUAGGUGUGGGGUCCAUUCCACGGGUUCCGUGCCGUAGCUAACGCUUUAAGUACCCCGCCUGGGGAGUACGGCCGCAAGGCUAAAACUCAAAGGAAUUGGCGGGGCCCCGCACAAGCGGCGGAGCAUGCGGAUUAAUUCGAUGCAACGCGUGGAACCUUACCUGGGUUUGACAUGGAUCGGGAGUGCUCAGAGAUGGGUGUGCCUCUUUUGGGGUCGGUUCACAGGUGGUGCAUGCCUGUCGUCAGCUCGUGUCGUGAGAUGUUGGGUUAAGUCCCGCAACGAGCGCAACCCUUGUUCACUGUUGCCAGCACGUUAUGGUGGGGACUCAGUGGAGACCGCCGGGGUCAACUCGGAGGAAGGUGGGGAUGACGUCAAGUCCUCAUGCCCCUUAUGUCCAGGGCUUCACGCAUGCUACAAUGGCUGGUACAGAGAGUGGCGAGCCUGUGAGGGUGAGCGAAUCUCGGAAAGCCGGUCUCAGUUCGGAUUGGGGUCUGCAACUCGACCUCAUGAAGUCGGAGUCGCUAGUAAUCGCAGAUCAGCAACGCUGCGGUGAAUACGUUCCCGGGGCU